UUGCGUUGAGAAGCGUUGCAUAGCGCGAGACGUUGUGGGACAUGCCGCAACCGUCGAUCUUCACCUCGUCGAAACCCAACGUCGCCAUCC
rnacentral:rRNA from 9 species